rnacentral:rRNA from 1 species
GAUGAACGCUAGCGACAGGCUUAACACAUGCAAGUCGAGGGGUAACAGGGUAGCAAUACCGCUGACGACCGGCGCACGGGUGAGUAACGCGUAUGCAACCUGCCUAUAACUGGGGAAUAGCUCCCUGAAAGGGGAAUUAACACCGCAUAACACUAUUGAUUCGCAUGGAUUGGUAGUUAAAUGUAGCGAUACAGGUUAUAGAUGGGCAUGCGUGACAUUAGCUAGUUGGUGAGGUAACGGCUCACCAAGGCUACGAUGUCUAGGGGUUCUGAGAGGAAGGUCCCCACACUGGUACUGAGACACGGACCAGACUCCUACGGGGGGCAGCAGUGGGGGAUCUUGCACAAUGGGCGAAAGCCUGAUGCAGCGACGCCGCGUGAGCGAAGAAGGCCUUCGGUUGUAAAGCUCUGUCUGGAGGGACGAAGAAAAUGACGGUACCUCCGGAGGAAGCCACGGCUAACCGUAGCCAGCAGCCGCGGAAAGUC